rnacentral:rRNA from 1 species
GUGCACGCUGGCGGUAGGCCUAACACAUGCAAGUCGAACGGCAGCACAGUAAGAGCUUGCUCUUACGGGUGGCGAGUGGCGGACGGGUGAGGAAUACAUCGGAAUCUACUUUUUCGUGGGGGAUAACGUAGGGAAACUUACGCUAAUACCGCAUACGACCUACGGGUGAAAGCAGGGGAUCUUCGGACCUUGCGCGAUUGAAUGAGCCGAUGUCGGAUUAGCUAGUUGGCGGGGUAAAGGCCCACCAAGGCGACGAUCCGUAGCUGGUCUGAGAGGAUGAUCAGCCACACUGGAACUGAGACACGUUCCAGACUCCUACGGGAGGCAGCAGUGGGGAAUAUUGGACAAUGGGCGCAAGCCUGAUCCAGCCAUACCGCGUGGGUGAAGAAGGCCUUCGGGUUGUAAAGCCCUUUUGUUGGGAAAGAAAAGCAGCAGGUUAAUACCCCGCUGUUCUGACGGUACCCAAAGAAUAAGCACCGGCUAACUUCGUG